CAUUAGUCGGAAAGCAUC
rnacentral:snRNA from 1 species